AGCACUGUUUCUACUGGUGCUGGCAGAUGUAAGUCCGACGUGCACCACGCUGCACGGGCCUGGCAGAACAGGCCUCCUGGGAUUAC
rnacentral:ncRNA from 1 species